rnacentral:rRNA from 1 species
UGAGUACAAGAUGCUACGGCAUUGAAGCAGUCUAUGUCAUACUUCCAAGAAAAGCUUGCAAUGUCAUAAACAAAUAAUGCCUGUACCAUAACCGACACAGGUGGGUAGGUAGAGUAUACUAAGGGGCGCGAGAUAACUCUCUCUAAGGAACUCGGCAAAAUGACUCCGUAACUUCGGGAGAAGGAGUACCUUAUUUUAUAAGGUUGCAAUAACAAGGUCCAAGCAACUGUUUACCAAAAACACAGGUCUCCGCUAAGUCGUAAGACGAUGUAUGGGGGCUGACGCCUGCCCAGUGCCAGAAGGUUAAAGAAGUUGGUUAGCAUUAGCGAAGCUGAUAACUGAAGCCCUGGUGAACGGCGGCCGUAACUAUAACGGUCCUAAGGUAGCGAAAUUCCUUGUCGGGUAAGUUCCGACCCGCACGAAAGGCGUAAUGAUUUGGAUACUGUCUCGGAGAGGGGCUCGGUGAAAUAGACUUGUCUGUGAAGAUGCGGACUACCUGCACCUGGACAGAAAGACCCUAUGAAGCUUUACUGUAACUUGAGAUUGAAAUUGGACUUUAUUUGCGCAGUAUAGGUGGGAGACCUCGAAAGUAUUCUUGCGGGAAUAUUGGAGUCAUCAGUGAGAUACCACUCUUAUAAUGUUAGAUUUCUAACUUUGUAUCAUUAUCUGGUCAAAGAACAGUUUCAGGCGGGCAGUUUGACUGGGGCGGUCGCCUCCCAAAUGGUAACGGAGGCGCACAAAGGUUUCCUCUGAACGUGUAGAAAUCGUAUCUAGAGUGUAAAGGCAUAAGGAAGCUUGACUGUGAGACCUACAAGUCGAGCAGGGACGAAAGUCGGUCUUAGUGAUCUGACGGUGCUGAGUGGAAAGGCCGUCACUCAACGGAUAAAAGUUACUCUAGGAUAACAGGCUGAUCUCCCCCAAGAGUUCACAUCGACGGGGAGGUUUGGCACCUCGAUGUCGGCUCAUCGCAUCCUGGGGCGGUAGUACGUCCCAAGGGUUGGGCUGUUCGCCCAUGAAAGCGGUACGCGAGCUGGGUUCAGAACGUCGUGAGACAGUUCGGUCCAUAUCCGGUGUAGGCGUUAGAAUAUUGAGAGGAGCCUUCUUUAGUACGAGAGGACCGAGAAGGACAUACCUCUGGUGUACCAGUUAUCGUGCCAACGGUAAACGCUGGGUAGCUAUGUAUGGAGAGGAUAACCGCUGAAAGCAUCUAAGUGGGAAGCCCACCUCAAGAUAAGUAUUCUG